CACAAAAUAAAGACUUCUUUUUCCUGUAUUAGACACGUUUCACCUGUUUUUAUUGUAGAAAGACAUACAUGUAUAAGUGAGAUCAUUUCACUUGGUCCCACCAUUUGUAGGGUAACCAGUUCACACCUACUGCAUAUCUUUCCAGAUUUACUUCUGUGCACAUACACACAAAUAAAUAUUUUUAUGAAAAUAUGAUCAUAUUAUGACUCCCAUUCAUAAUGGCACCUUGGUGUCAAUGUAGAUCCAUCUCUUAUUCGGUGUCCAUACAGGUCUGUAAAGACUGCAUAGCCUUGCAAUGCAUGGAUAUGCCAGAAGGUAUUUAAUUCCCUGUCACUGGAAAUUUUUGUUUCACUAAUAUUUAGGCAAUGCCUAAGACAACAUUUUUGAACUUGGUUCUCUGGCAUAAUUAUUCCUUAGGAUAAAGUCCAAGACAUGGAAUUGCAAAGUUUAGGAGAUUAGCAGCAUGUUAAAGGCUUUUCGAUGAUGUCUUUGAGAUGUACCUGCCACAUCUUGCUUCGUACAAGUUCCUCCGUGUAGCCAGUGCCCAGUCUCAGCUCUGAAUACCGGGGAGGCCAGCAGGUCUGCUUGGAGCAGCUGAGCAGAUGGGCACGGCCUGGAAUUCAAACUCUCUUGGCACUCCAGGCGCAAUCUGGAAUAUCCUUUUCUUGAGGGAUAUUUUCAUCAGGAAUCCUGAUGAGGACAAUCCCUCUGCCAAUCUCUGAGAAUUUGUCCUGAUUGAAAAGCUAUUUUAGGUUUAAACGUCUCCAUUUUAUCUUCCCUGGAUUCAUCUUUCGCUGUGGAAUCCAAUUCCCUUCCAGGCACUUCUCCCACGCUUCCCCUAAUCUCUGCGACAUCACCCUUUUCUACAAUUUAGGUGUAAUCCCACCUUCGUGUACAAGCCUGCUUGCGUCCCCGUCUCCAGUCUGGAGUUGGAUGGUACCCACUGCGGGAAUGUGCCUUGUGACGUUUGGAGCAGGUGUGAGGGCCCAGGUAGCCACGGCCUCAGAGAGGAGCACGGGAGCACUCCAGGGAGACACGAGGCUAUUCCCGCCUGUGGGGGAGUCUCAGAAGGUGGCUCAGGUUAUCAACAGGCCCUAGAACAAGGGGCUCGGAGUUUGGAGGACUCUCAGAAGGCUUGAUUGCUACAGCAGAUUGCACGUGGACAAUCUCCGCACCUGGAGCUGCAGCUAUGUGGGCCACUUGGCAAGUGUGCCAGAACUCCUACAUUUUCUAUGUUCUGCUUCUGGAAAAGAGCGUAACUAUAGACACCGUUACCAAAGACACCAACACCGACACCACAGAACUGUAGGAAAGUCCAGUGAAUAGACCUCAACAGUUGUCUGGCAUUGGACAUGAUUCUGGCUUCCCGAAGGGGCACCUGGGCAGGGUUCAGAAGUAACCACUGUGCCUGAGCUCCCAUAAAUGUCUCUGCCCCCCCGCCCCCGAAAUAUCCAGUGCGAACCAGGAAAUCCAUCAGGUUGCCACUGUCAUCUCCAUUCUGCCACGAAGGAUGCUUCAAGCCCAACAUCUCAGAGGCGGCUCAACUACUCCCUUCAAGCUUCAAAUUCUGGUUUUACUGCCUCAUUUAACCCUUGAUCGUUAUUCUUUUUAGUAUAUUCCUAAGUAUGCCUCUUAUGACACCCCUGAUUUUUAAGACCCUCCAACACCUGUCGGUCUGGGGCCCGCCCAGCCGAGGGUAACAGUGGGUCCUUCAGAGCCAGUAAGAACAUGGAAGGCAGCCACCCCUGGCCGCUGAACCAACACCGCCCUCAGGAUGACUGUUACUCCGAACCCACUGUACCUAAGAAACAAUGGAGGUGACCACCAGGCGAUCACAGAUGCCCACUUCCCCCCCUCUCCUUUGCUUCACCCAACUGUAGGCAGGUUUUCCUCGGCCCACAGCCCAUAUUUUGGCUUGCACCGAGCUUAGACAAGCGCCCAGGGGAGCACUGCCCCCCUCACCAGUCCAGUCUGAGAACCUGUUGACUAGGAGGCAACGCUGCGGCUGGGCCACCUGAUUCUGCACCUGCUCCCACCAGCUCUGUCCCUGCACAGUCCCUGCUGGUCCACCGCCUCGGCCUGUAAAAGAAGAGCCUGU
ensembl:lncRNA